GUCCACGCCGUAAACGAUGGAUACUAGCUGUUGGGCUCCGGCUCAGUGGCUAAGCGAAAGUGAUAAGUAUCCCACCUGGGGAGUACGGGCGCAAGCCUGAAACUCAAAGGAAUUGACGGGGGCCCGCACAAGCGGUGGAGCAUGUGGUUUAAUUCGAUGAUACGCGAGGAACCUUACCAGGGCUUAAAUGUAGGUUGACAGGACUGGAAACAGUUUUUCCUUCGGGCAACUUACAAGGUGCUGCAUGGUUGUCGU
rnacentral:rRNA from 1 species